rnacentral:rRNA from 1 species
AGCCACACUUUCACUGAAACAAGGGAAAGCUCAAAUGGGGUGUUGGUCCCCGAGGCAGCAGUAAAGAAUUUUGUGCAAUAUACGAAGGUAAGAUACAGAGAGGGCACCUUUACCUAGCCUGUCAAAUUAAGUGCCAGCAGACGCGGUGAAACUUAAGGGUUAGUCUUAUAGGCAAAAGCGUAAAGGGUGUGAUAGGCCGCCUUAUUUAAGAGAGUAAAUGGAAUUUUUCUGUAACGGUGGUGUGUGAAAAUAGGGAAAAGAACUUUAGACGUGAGGACUAUUUAUUUCUAAGAUUAUAAUAUGAUGGCUAAAACACGAGAGUAUAGGGAGCAAACAGGAUUAGGUACCCUGGUAGUCUAUACUGUAAAUAAUGAAAAAGAUGUGAAGCAAUCCUAAAAGGUAAGAAUUUUCCGCUUGAGUAGUACGAUCGCAAGAUUAAAAUUCAAAAAACUUGGCUGUUCACUGUUUUAAUUAGAGGAGCGUGUCGUUUAAUUCGAUAGUCCGCGAGAAACCUUACCCAAACUUGAAUUCUUUAUUGACAGGUAUUGCAUGGCCGUCGUCAAUUUGUGUAUUAAACAUAAAACAGAUUUAACCCAGUAGUUUGUCUAUUGGAUGAAGUCAGGUCUUAUUGUCCUAAUGUUUGGGGAUUAGAUGCGCUACAUUUUUUUAUACAAUGGGAAACUUUGAAGGUGAAACCCUAAAAUAAGAGUUCGGAAGGUGCCUGGAAGAUAACGGAAAGUUUGGAUUUAAUAGUAAUUGAAAAGUAGAGCGUUUCAAUGAAAUUGACUCAGUGUUAGUACAGAUUGCCCGUCGCCUUUGCUUAGAAAGGUUGUUUGGUUGCCCCUCAAGAGGGUUCUAAUAUCUCCGAGUAGAGUAAGUCGUAACAUGUAAGGAAGGGAAC